rnacentral:rRNA from 1 species
UAGGGAAUCUUCGGCAAUGGACGAAAGUCUGACCGAGCAACGCCGCGUGAGUGAAGAAGGUUUUCGGUUCGUAAAACUCUGUUGUUAGAGAAGAACAAGGACGUUAGUAACUGAACGUCCCCUGACGGUAUCUAACCAGAAAGCCACGGCUAACUACGUGCCAGCAGCCGCGGUAAUACGUAGGUGGCAAGCGUUGUCCGGAUUUAUUGGGGGUAAAGCGAGCGCAGGCGGUUUCUUAAGUCUGAUGUGAAAGCACCCGGCUCAACCGGGGAGGUUCAUUGGUAACUGGGUGUCUUUAGUGCAGAAGAGGGGGGUGGAAUUCCAGGUGUAGCGGUGAAAUGCGUAGAUAAAUGGAGGAACACGAGUGGCGAAGGCGGCUCUCUGGUCUGUAACUGACGCUGAGGCUCGAAAGCGUGGGGAGCAAACAGG